GUAUAAAGAAAUCUGAGCCCACUCAUAGAUGUGAUAGGCAUCUUAAGACCCAUAAUGUAAACUCCAAAUGUCUAAUUCAAAAGUACAUGGAGCAUGUCAAGUUUGAUGCCAACUAAAGUAUGAAAGGUUUUGCAUCACAUGCGAAGAGAAAAGUGAAAGUAUAAAUUCCUAAAGCCCUAGUCUAUAGGAUUAAGAGAAAGGCACUUCUAGCCAUUCAUAGGUUGCAUAG
rnacentral:lncRNA from 1 species